rnacentral:lncRNA from 1 species
UGACACUGGCCCUGGGUGUAUCUUUGGUCAUUCCUCCUGCCCUUUUGGCCAACAUCAAUGUGGGACCCAAGGUUCUUGCUUAAUGUUUUCUUUCUGCAGGCAAAGGAUGCCUCUAAGAAGAAAAAUGGUUUAUAGCCUGGUGGUCAUAGUCCUGGUCCAUAAUACAGUUGAAGCAGUUGCCUGUAAGAAACAUUUGAUUGACUUCCACAAAGUAUAUAGGGUUUUUUUUGUUUGUUUUUUAAAGACGGGUUUUCUGUGUAACUCUUGCUGUCCUGGAACUCACUGUGUAGACCAGGUUAGCUUCAAACUCAAGAGGUCCACCCUACUCUGCCUCCAGAGUGCUGGAAUUAAAGGUGUGUACCACCAUGCCUGGCUAUAUGAAGGUCUUUUGAACUAGAGAGGAACAAAGAGAAAUACAAUGUUGUAGAAUUGUCCCAUAUUUGCACCACUUGAAGAGACCCAAGACCUUAAUAUAAGAAUUUUAAUUAUGUACUGAUUUUUUGAGAACAUGGUCUUGUGUAGCCCAGGUUGGGCUUAAACUAUGAUGUGACUACAGAUGGCUAUGAAUUCCUUGAGCCUUCACAUUCCAAACACUGCUUUAAAAAAAAGCAAGUUCUGACAUUAGAAAUACUGUGACUGCACAAAGAUAUUUGCACUUUGCCAGCAUGACCAAUGUUAAGAUGGAAAUACUUGUGCACUUACACACUUGGCUAUUUUUUUUUUUAUUUUUGUAAUAAAGGAUCUGUAACUGC